rnacentral:rRNA from 1 species
AUGCACUUCCAUGACAGAGACAACUUGGAGAGAUCAGUUUGCAUUUCAGACAUAACAUAUUAUAAUUUGGUUGCCCUAAUAGAGACAGAGGGAUAUGGGCUUAAUGAUUUCAUGUAUUUUGUGAGGGAUCCUGGUGUGGGGAUUACAGGAAUGGAUGAAAUUUGUGAUGAUGAUAAGGUGGAUGAAAUGCUUGACCAUAUUGCUAACAAUGAUCAGAAUGUAGUGAACUUGAUAGUGGUUAGGGGCACUGAUCCAAGACCUGCAGAUUUGAACUCAGGCUAUCUGGUUGAGGAGCAGGUUCCUUUGAGCCAUAUAGGAGAGAACCCUGUGUAUGUAGUAAAUCCUUCUGGUGUUCUCUUAAGAUCACCACCAAAAAGUAUAAUACAGAGUCCGCCAGAGCCAUUGCAGUUCUACACUACACAGCAGAGCACAAACCAUGAUCUGGAUACAAAUGCUGCCAUGGACCAAUGCAAUGCAGCAGAGCAGGAUGAACUGGAGACAUUAAUGGAGUUGAAGAGGAGAACAAAGAUUGCCAAAUUUAGGAAACAUAAGAUUGCAGCUGAGCAUGUAAAUAAGGUUAAGCAGAAGCUACCAAUUCUUCUAACUGAAGAUGAUUCAGAUCUGGAUGCAGAUGAGGACUAUCUUCAGAGGCUUAAUGAGAUGAGGAAGCAAAGAGAGGAUCCACACAUUCAUUUUGAUGGAGACACUGAUGUGGAUGAAGUGUAUGAGGAAGAUGAGGAAGGGCAACAUGUGGAGGUGGAGCAAGAGGAGCAGGUGGAGCAAGAUGAGCAGGUGGAGCAGCAAGAGGUGCCUACAAAGAAGAAGAAAGCUAGAAAAGGGCCAACAGAGAGGAAUAUGAUGAUGGAGCUGAGGAAGUACAAUUUGUUCUGCCCAAUGGAAGGAAGAGCAGAUCAGUGA